ACAAUAAUAAUAAUAUUGAAUAUAAAGGUGUAAAUAAUAUGUUAUCAAAUUAUAAUAAUAAUUCAGUAUUGUUCGAUGAUAGUAGUAAUGUUGGGGGGAUGUAUAACAAUAUGGACGAUAAACAUAGUCAAAACCAAUCAGAUAAUAGUAAACAAAAUAGUAUGACUGAUAUUGCUAUGAAUUUUAAAAACACUUCAGGAUAUAUUAACUCUAAUAGUAAUGAGAAUAAAUUAAUUACCAACAAUCCUAAUGUGUGUGGUGUUGUUAAUGGAGACAACCACGAUUUGAUGAUUGAUAGUAUAGAUGAUAGCAUUAUUAAUGAUAUAACAGGUAAUAUGACAUCUUUUGUGAAUGGCAAUAUGAAACCUAACGUAAAUGAUAAUAUAAAUUAUAAUAUCGACUACAGUAACAUAUCAAAUAACAGAACCAAUAAUUAUAAGAAGCAAGAUCACUGUGGUACUUCUAAAAAAUAUUUUGAAAAGAAUCAAUACAAUUCUACUAAGAAUUACGAUUCAUAUGAUAAUAAUGAUAAUACUAGUUUAAAUAAUAAAGAUAAUAAUAAAUAUAAUUUUAAUAAUAUGCGAUCUAAUAUAAAAAUAGAUAAAGGAAAUUAUAAUGAGGCGUUCAAUAGUAAAAAUGGUUCACAUCAUGGGGCUGUAAAUUAUAUAGAAAGUAAUGAACAAAAAUAUAAUAACAUUGUAUCAUCAUUAAAUGUGAAUAAUUUAAUUGAAUCAAAUAUUAUUGAUACAAAAAAGAAUUGUGAUUAUAUAUCUGAUCAACGAAAUAACAAAUACGGCAUUGAUAAUAGGAAUAAUAAUAUGCUUGGUAAAUAUGAACAUAAUGAUGCAGAUAUACCAGAAUAUGACACGUUUGGAAAUAAUGAAAAUAAUAAUAGAGACAUGGUUAAUAUUAAUAAUAUAAAUAAAAACAUUAAUUAUAUUAAUAACGAUGUAGAUAACAUAAAUAAUAAUAUAAAUAAUAUAAAUAAUAAUAUACAUAAAAUUAAUUCAAAUGUGGGUGUUAGUAAUCAUUUUAAUAAAAACAUA
rnacentral:lncRNA from 1 species